rnacentral:rRNA from 1 species
GGGGAGAUUGGAAUUCCUGGUGUAGCGGUGGAAUGCGCAGAUAUCAGGAGGAACACCGAUGGCGAAGGCAGAUCUCUGGGCCGUAACUGACGCUGAGGAGCGAAAGGGUGGGGAGCAAACAGGCUUAGAUACCCUGGUAGUCCACCCCGUAAACGUUGGGAACUAGUUGUGGGGUCCAUUCCACGGAUUCCGUGACGCAGCUAACGCAUUAAGUUCCCCGCCUGGGGAGUACGGCCGCAAGGCUAAAACUCAAAGGAAUUGACGGGGACCCGCACAAGCGGCGGAGCAUGCGGAUUAAUUCGAUGCAACGCGAAGAACCUUACCAAGGCUUGACAUAUACGAGAACGGGCCAGAAAUGGUCAACUCUUUGGACACUCGUAAACAGGUGGUGCAUGGUUGUCGUCAGCUCGUGUCGUGAGAUGUUGGGUUAAGUCCCGCAACGAGCGCAACCCUCGUUCUAUGUUGCCAGCACGUAAUGGUGGGAACUCAUGGGAUACUGCCGGGGUCAACUCGGAGGAAGGUGGGGAUGACGUCAAAUCAUCAUGCCCCUUAUGUCUUGGGCUUCACGCAUGCUACAAUGGCCGGUACAAAGGGCUGCAAUACCGCGAGGUGGAGCGAAUCCCAAAAAGCCGGUCCCAGUUCGGAUUGAGGUCUGCAACUCGACCUCAUGAAGUCGGAGUCGCUAGUAAUCGCAGAUCAGCAACGCUGCGGUGAAU